GGAAAAUCGCAGUUAGUGAUAAGGCUGGAUGACUGGAGACUCGAAGAUCCUGCCUUUCGGCUUUGUAAACCCUCCCUAAGUACCCUUAAGUCCCAUAUCACAUGCUUGGAGUGAAAGUUUCAACAAGGAAGAAGGGGUAGCACCUAGAAUUUUCCCAGCCACCUGAUGUGAAGAGCUGAGUCUUUGGAAAAGACCCUGAUUCUGGGAAAGAUUGAAGGCAAGAGGAAAAGGGGGCGACAUAAGAUGAGAUGGUUGGAUGGCGUCAUCAAGUCAGUGGACGUGAGUUUGCGUAAACUCUGGGAGAUGGUGAAGGACAGAGAGGCCUGGCAUGCUGCAGAUCAUGGGUCCACAAAGAGUCAGACAUGAUUUAGCAACUGAACAACUUUGUCAAUAUUUUAUUUCAACUGGAAGUCUUUAGGUGAGUUCCUAUCACCCUUGCUUGAACAAAAACUUUUUAAUGUAAUAAAAAACAACAAAUUUAUCCC
ensembl:lncRNA